ACGCUGGCGGCAUGCUUUACACAUGCAAGUCGGACGGCAGCACAGAGAAGCUUGCUUCUUGGGUGGCGAGUGGCGAACGGGUGAGUAACAUAUCGGAACGUACCGAGUAAUGGGGGAUAACCAAUCGAAAGAUUAGCUAAUACCGCAUAUUCUCUGAGGAGGAAAGCAGGGGACCUUCGGGCCUUGCGUUAUUCGAGCGGCCGAUAUCUGAUUAGCUAGUUGGUGGGGUAAAGGCCUACCAAGGCGACGAUCAGUAGCGGGUCUGAGAGGAUGAUCCGCCACACUGGGACUGAGACACGGCCCAGACUCCUACGGGAGGCAGCAGUGGGGAAUUUUGGACAAUGGGCGCAAGCCUGAUCCAGCCAUGCCGCGUGUCUGAAGAAGGCCUUCGGGUUGUAAAGGACUUUUGUCAGGGAAGAAAAGGCUGUUGCUAAUACCGACAGUUGAUGACGGUACCUGAAGAAUAAGCACCGGCUAACUACGUGCCAGCAGCCGCGGUAAUACGUAGGGUGCGAGCGUUAAUCGGAAUUACUGGGCGUAAAGCGAGCGCAGACGGUUACUUAAGCAGGAUGUGAAAUCCCCGGGCUCAACCUGGGAACUGCGUUCUGAACUGGGUGACUAGAGUGUGUCAGAGGGAGGUAGAAUUCCACGUGUAGCAGUGAAAUGCGUAGAGAUGUGGAGGAAUACCGAUGGCGAAGGCAGCCUCCUGGGAUAACACUGACGUUCAUGCUCGAAAGCGUGGGUAGCAAACAGGAUUAGAUACCCUGGUAGUCCACGCCCUAAACGAUGUCAAUUAGCUGUUGGGCAACUUGAUUGCUUAGUAGCGUAGCUAACGCGUGAAAUUGACCGCCUGGGGAGUACGGUCGCAAGAUUAAAACUCAAAGGAAUUGACGGGGACCCGCACAAGC
rnacentral:rRNA from 1 species